UUUUUUUGGGGGGGGAAUAAAGAAGAAAAAAAUUAUUUUCCCCCCCCCCAGGCACAGGGCUGGCGUGGGGGAUCCACCUUUCACCAGACUGCAACAUGAGAUCUACUUUUUUGGUAACGUGUGUCAAUCUUCUUUAAUUUUACUUGCCUGCCUGCCUUCUCUCUCACUCUCCCAUUUUCUUCUUACCUGUUUCUUUUUUUAAAAAAAUCUAAUCGAAAAAGAAAAUGUGUUGAUGCUGAGUUGCUGCAACCCAUUAGAUGUGAAUGUCACGUGUGGGUGUAUAGAUAUAGAUAUAUCCAGACAAUGACAUUGCAAAUGAACAAAGAAGGCCUCAAAUGAAUACAGUAUGUAGCAAGCACCCAAAUCUUUAGAGUUUUAAAAACUCUUCCCAUUGUUUCUUCCCAUUCAAUAGGAAUGAUGGCUUCUGAUUUGGCCUGCAUUACUUCCAACAGAGACCUACAGCGAUUUCCCCAAACCUGGUUCCCUCCAUGUGUUCAGAAGGCCGCUCCCAUCAUCUGUAGCCAGAAUGGGCUUGGGCUGAUGGGAGUUGUACAGUGGUACGUCAGGUUAAGUACUUAAUUCGUUCCAGAGGUCCGUACUUAACCUGAAACUGUUCUUAACCUGAAGCAGCACGUUAGCUAAUGGGGCCUCCUGCUGCCGCCGCGCCGCUGGAGCACAAUUUCUGUUCUCAUCCUGAAGCAAAGUUCUUAACCUGAAGCACUAUUUCUGGGUUAAUGGAGUCUGUAACCUGAAGCGUAUGUAACCUGAAGUGUAUGUAACCUGAGGUACCACUGUAUUCCAAAAUAUCUAGAGGAGAUCAGGUUGAGGAAGGCUGAGCUACAGUAUUCAAAGCCACCAGUCUAUCAGGUGGCUUAAACAUAACUCCAAACUUCUGUGAAAGCAGAUUAUAAUUGACUGCACCAUUCUCCCCUCCUAUGUGUGUGUUUGCUCUUCAAUGUAUCAUGUGUUUCUAUGUCUCAUAAAAAUCUCUAAGUGGUUCACAAAGUGAUAAGUAGUGUGUGUUUGUGCGAGAGAGAGAGAGACAGAGAGAGAGAGAGAGAGAGAGAGAUAAACAUAAACAUAAAAUAAUAAAAUCCCAGAAAGGCAAAACAAAAGCAAAACAAAACCCCAACAAAACAAAACUUAGCAGCACAGUUUAAAAACAUUGUAAGAGCUGAGGAAAGUUCGUCAGAAUAGAUGAGUUUUCAGCUUUUAUUUGAAGUGCCUCAUAUCUGGUCCUCCUCUUAUAAUGCAAUAGGGAGGCCAUUCCAGAGAACUGCUGCUAUCACAGGAGAGGCCUGCUUCCAAGAAACCAUUAAAUGACAGUCUGCCCAAGAUAGUAUAUUUAGCAGGGCCUCCCCCAAAGCGGCUUCAUCCAAAGCACUGACCCACAUGCACGGAAACACGACAAAUCUAGAUAUUGCAUCUAGACAUAAAUUGAACAGAACAACUGUAUUUACCUGAGAGGUUCGUCCCUGCUCAUUAGUCUCGUAGAACACAGAUUAAUUUCAGUGGACCUGGUGUAAAAACAGGGCUUGAUGAGGGGUAGGUAGAAAAUGAUAUUACUGGGAAAUUGCUUUGUCAUUUUCUCACUGUUGAGAGCAGUAAUCCAUGCAGUUAAUUCUUCUUUAUUAAUCACAGGCUGCAUAUAAUAUUAAUAGGAAGGCUUCAAUGGAAAAAAACACACAAUUAAAAUAAACUAUUUAUACCUCUUGUUUCCUCCUUUAGAUGAAAGAAUUUGUUACCUUUGUUGAAUGUUCCCUAACCUGUAUACAGACAAUGGUAUUUAAUUUAGUUACUGAAUUGACUGGUAAAUUAAGAGCAAGCCAAUUUAAAAGCCAGCCAAUUAACUGUUUAAAAACCCUCAGUUAAAUGCCUGCCAUCACUUUUUGCCAAUAGUACACACUUUCCCCCUUGAUGAUACUGGUUCAAAAAUAGAAACAAAGUAACAUAAGCAAGUAAGGAUCUUUGCAGGAAUUGAACAAAUUGGCCUCCCCCCCUCCGAGUCUAGAUUAGUUUUCAAUUUGUUUACUCGUAAGUCUUAUUGCUGCUAUUAAUAUUAUUAUUAUUAUUAUUAUUAUUAUUAUUAUUAUUAUUACAGUGGAACCUCGGGUUAAGAACUUAAUUCGUUCUGGAGGUCCCUACUUAACCUGAAACUGUUCUUAACCAGAGGUACCACUUUAGCUAAUGGGGCCUCCCACUGCCGCCGCUGCACCGCUGCCACACAAUUUCUGUUCUCAUCCUGAAGCAAAGUUCUUAACCCAAGGUACUAUUUCUGGGUUAGUGGAGUUUGUAACCUGAAGCGUCUGUAACCUGAAGCAUCUGUAACCCGAGGUACCACUGUAAAGCCACUGUGGAUUGUCAUUAGGAGAUAUUGGACAAGUUGUCCACAGUAUGCUGAUGACAGCCAGCUCUGUUUCUCUGUCGUUGAAAUCAAUAAAAGCUAUGCAUGUCCUAGACUAGUGCCUGGAUGUAGCCAUGUGCUAAUAAACUGUGACUUAAUUCAGUCAGAGACUCUGUGGAUGGGUGGUUAUCAGAGCCUUGAAGAGCAGGUGCAUAUAAUGUAGGAGUGCUCCUAGAUCCAUCGCUGUCACUAGAGGACUGUGUGACAUCAAUGGUUUGGAACACCUGUCAUCACUGGUUGAUGUGGCAACUACAGCUUACCAUUGAGAUCCUCUGAUGGAAUUCGAUAGAAUGGCAUAGAAAUGAAAGGUCUGCUGUCAUAAUGAAAAUUGGCUCGUUUAUACUAUAGGUGUGCAUUGGAAAACAGAAUCCUUGCUUGGUAGAGAGAUGCAACCUUUUCUGGCACCCCAACACAUUUCACAAAUCUUGAGGAAGUAUUACCUCCCCCCCCCUCCUUUCUUUUAAACUUCUCUCAAAAUCAGAUACUUUGCCUGAGCAGGUCUUUGCAAACUGACUUCACAUUUCAUCUGAAGAGAAGUAUGGUAAGAAAUCCGUUACGUGGCAUCACCGCAGAUGUUGGUGACCUUGUAGGUUGACAUGUCUGAAGGUCUCAGAUAAGAUACAAGUAUUUACAGAUCCCAAAAAGCUGUCAGGAACUGCCUUUGAGAAGUGCUCAGAAACUUCAACUGGCUCACAGUGCUGUAGCCAGAUUGUUGACUGGGGCCGGUUAUAAGGGAGUAUAACAUGGUAGCUGCUCCCUUUCCUACAACAGUCCGUUUCUGGGCACAAGUCAAAGUGCUGAUUAUGACUAUGAAGCCCUACAAGGCUUAGGACCAAGCUUUCUGAAAGACCAUAUUCCCUCAUACAAACUUGGUUGGGUUUUGAGUUCUCCAGGGGAGGACCUUCUCUUGGUCCCACCACCUUCACAGCGUGCCUGGUGGGGAGAGUGCCUUCAUGGUGGCUGCUCCCAGAUGUUGGAACUCCCUCGCUAGAGAAACUAGACUGGUUCCGUCCUUGUUGUCCUUCCACUGGCAGGUGGAGACUUUCUUGUUCCAACCAGAUUUUGGGAACUGACUGCUUUGAAUGAAAAGGUGGCUGCUGUGCUGUUUUUAUUGUAAUUAUUUGUAUGAUUCUAAAAGAUUUUAUAUAUUUAUAUAGGUUUAAUUUUAUCAAUGUUUAGUUGUUUUUAGUUUUUCUCUGUGUUUUUAUUUUUAUCUGUAAGCUGCAUUGUGUCCCAUCAGGGAAGGAGAGGGGGGGAGAGAAACACACACACACACUCACACACACCACCACCACCACUCUUCCCCCUCCCACACACCAUGAACACAUCAGUUUCUGAACAUGUGAAUUUUAGCACAGUGUAUACAUCUAUGACUGAUGAGAACCACUUACUCCAAGAUUUUGCAACGAACCAAGAUUUCUACCUGCUUUUCAUCCCUGAUGGCUAUUACUGAGAUAACCCGUUGUGCCAUUUUGAGGACAUGUUUUCUGAUUUGCUUUGCUGGUAUUCCUUUCCUUUCCUCGAUUUCUUUUUAUCUUAUUUAUGCUUUGCCAUGUGAGUUGUGUUUCUAUUCAGAUUGUAGUAAAUUAUUUAUACAUUAGCAUCUAUGCAUAUAAAUUAGGAGGCAAAUUUGUGUCCUCUUCUGCCCCCUUUUGCAUGUGUGUAAGUGACCAUCCUAUGGGUACCAUUUUCUCCACCACAAAAGCUCACGUAAGGGCAGAAAGCAUGUAUCUACUGGUGUCCUGUGGGGGCGUUAUAACUUUGUGUGGCUGUUAUAACUUUGGGGUCUCCAUUUUAGCAAGGGGGGGAGGAAGGCAUCGUGACCCAGCCCUGAACUUUCAUCCUAAUCCUGAGCCACCAUAACUGAAGUUCUAAAGACAGAGGGGAAACGACAGGCUGCCAAUUGUCAUGAAUGCCUUUUGGUUUCCUGCUAUUGUGAAUUAUAGACUGGAGGAUCCCAGUGUCCUACUUCAAACAAGGCUUUAAUGCACAGCAUGCAAUUGGAUGGUUGGCCUCUUUCUGAGAAGCAAUCUGUGCAACACAGGCCUGGGAAGAAUUUGAUAAUUUAAUUAUAGGGCAUGGCUCGCAAACCUCUUUUGUGCCUCUAAAUAGUUUUAAAGGCAGGCUUUAUCUGCAAGGAGGCAGAAAGGGAGCUGGGUAACCUCAGGUUGCAUGGAUAAAACCAGUUCUGGGGAAGUCCACCUGACACUUCAGUACACAAUGUGUGCUGAGUUUCAUUACUACCUCUGAGCUAGCAGAUUUCACAUUCAGUUUUAAUGGCCUGCAUGAGAUGAAAGGGUAUGCCUUUGUGAAGAUAUUGGAACGCUUGAGAUCUUAUUCCUACGUGAUAGCAAAACAUGAACAGAAUUGGUUUCAAAACAGUGUAGGCUCUUUGCCUCAUUUUGGAGCUAGGAGCCUGCACACAGACUUUACUCUGAAAAAUUAGAGCUUGAUAAAGGUGGAAGGACAAUGGUCAGUAGGCUAAAAAUGCAAUAAUUUUCAUUUUCUUGGAUAGGUUCACUUUAUUUGAUUGUUGGCGCCAUCCAGUAACAUUGGAAAAUAAUUUCCUCCCAAUAUUAUGUUUUGAAUCAUUGGAAGCACACCAGGUAGCAUGUUCACUGCCAGAUAGGAUUUUAUAGGAUCUUAUCGAACUGUUGCAUUCCUUAACAUUCCUUUAAAGGCCUUAUUCCAAGAAGAAACCUCUAUUUUUGCCUUGGAAUACAUACAUACAUACAUAUGUAAUUUUAUUUGUGUGCCCCCUUUCCACAGGGAAAUUUUCAAGGCAGCUUACAAGAAAAGCAACAACUACAAUUUAACAAAAGGUAGUCAUAAACAACAAAUAAAGCAUUAAAAAUGCAAAACCAAACUGAACAAUUUCCACAUAACUCUUAAAAGGUACAAGGAACCAACAGCAACAACUGUCCCAACCCCAAACCCCAACCCAAAGAACACACCAGCCCCUUUAGAAAUGUCACGUUUAGUAGUGCACACACAAACAUACUUGGCUAGAAAAGGUUCAAGCAAUGGGCAAUGAUUAUGAGCUCAGCUUUUUCUGUACUUGUUGCUGUGUGCUAUAGAGGACAUAGACAUUGGGAGCUAGCCGAUUAGGGCAAACGGGGCACUGCCCCACCAACCUUGGUAUGCUCUCACCAACACCACAUGCCUGCCUUCCCACAUGCACCCAUUCUAGGGAGUGGCACUGGCUGUCAACUUCCUUCUCAGCCUCAGUUUUGACCCAUAUUGAACUCAGCAGGGAGGAAGAGGAGGGCAAAGCUAGAAUUAGCUUGCUCCAACACUCAUUGGCUCUGGCUCCACUUACUGACGUCUCCUUGGCUUCCUCAACAGCCACCACUUGGCAUAGUCAUGUUUGGAAUAACCAAAAUGUAUGCUAUGCAACCCUUUACAGGCAAUGACUGAUUGAUGCGCGAUUGCACACACAUGUGUGGUGCUGAACCUGGAAGUGACCCUAAAAUGUCACUAAAAGUGGGAAUGGAAUGCUUUACGCAGGGCCCACUGACACGUGGUUGCGGGAGGGGUCCAGAACAUAACUCCUGUUCAAAACAAGGAUUGCCUGCACUCAUGUAGCUGUUUUGGUGCUUUGUUUAACCGUUGAGCAGAGCAGUGCAUGUUGGGUAAGCUGAAAAUUGAACGCUUUUCUGAAAUCUGGUAAUUGGGGGAAUAAUUCUUUUAACAAUUUCACCUAGCACUACUGCUGUCUUAUUGGGAGUAGCUUUGAGUUUGACAUUUUAGGAGAUGAAUGAGGCCUACUAAUGGAAAGAAAGCUCUCUGGUGUUUUUCAAUAGGUCUGAAAUAAUAAGGUGCUGAGUCAUUUUCCAAACCACAUCCUUUCCAGUAACAGGACUGUCCCCCCACAUUCUCUAGCCACUGGCCGAUAAGUAGGAUUCAUUAUUUCAGCUUCAACUUGAACAGGAUUUACAUUCCUUUCUGGUCCAAAGCAGAUCUAAAUCACAUUGUCAGCAUGCUGCUUUUGUGCUAUCACCUUAAAAAGAUUUUUUAUAGCUUUGCUGUACCCAGUCAGAGGCAGAGAUAACAUUAAGCUGCUUUCAAUAUGCAUGUAAUUUUUUUAAAAAAAAUAUUUUUGCUAAGGAGUCAAUAAAAAAUGAAUAGGAAGCUGUUGGGUGAUGGAGACAGAAUGACACAGAGGUUUAACCCUCCUUUAUUACCCGCAAUGAGAGUUCAAAAUCAAGCACAACAUAUGAAAAUAAGUCACAUUUCUUGAGGGGUGGCGGUAACUUUUGUGUGUGUUGUUUAUUGCUUGUGUAAAAUGUAAAUUUGGGGGAACUAUAAAGAAUGUUUCAGUGGCUUUGCUUUGGGUGAAACAAAUCAGAGCAGAAAGGAGGCCCCAGUUCAACUUAGCGACAUUAAACUUUUUGUAAAUUACUGAUUUUUACAAAGUUGUAUUCUCUAAUGGGGCAGACCCUUCUUUCUCUGAAUAUUAAUCUGAAGCAGUUCUUUUUAGUAAUCUGCCGCUUUUCAUGUUGGCCCUGUUCAUGUGCCUAUAACUGACUUUGACAUUAUUUUCUGCAAUAGAGUAAUAUGGUUACUACUUUCAGUGUUGCGCCUUUCAACAGCAAACUCACAUUGACAUUUAGAAGCUUUUAUUUUCCCUCCCCCAACCCCACAUUAGGCAGCUAUUCCUCACGUUCUCUUCAUUACUUUGUACUGCAUGCAAGAUCAUUUUUCUUUUUCCUAAGAGGAACAAAUGAUAUGAUGGUUAUUAUUUUGGUGCUCGCCACCAAAAACGAAGUCUCCAGGCAACUUUUGCUAGAGCCGUUUCCCAGCUUAUCUGAUAUGUGAGGAUUAGUUCUCAGAAUUGAAAACUUGGAAACGUUGGCACAAAGAAAGGCCACAAGCUGUUUGGAAGCCAAGACUGCGAUUAAGAUGCACAAAGUUCCCUUUGCUGGCUAUGGAGCAGGUUGGGGAGUCCAAUGAUGACUCGCUUCCUUUGACACAGUUUGUAAAUUAAGUUGAUCUUUCUGAGCUUACUUGGAAACCUCUUGGAGUCUGAGGCUUUCCCAGUAGUUCUAGCUCAUAUUAUUGGUGCCAGCCCUCUCCCCAGCCAUCCUUUUCCUAAUGUUUACUGUUUCAAUGGAAGUGGAGAGACUAACACCAAGGAGUGCUUGCAACAAAGGGAAAGGCCUCUUCCUUAAGACCUGACUGACUCACAUUGCCUUGGAGAAGCACUAGGAAAUAUAGUUACAAGUGCUUCCUCCUGCCCUCUGUAUUGGGAGGCAUUGGGCACUAACUACACUUCCUACAUUCUCUGCCAUUGAUCAGCCCCUGGAGUACAUCUAAAAGCCUUAAAGAUUAAUAUACUGCUGCUCAUUCCCCACCCCUUUCGUAAUGAUAUGUUUGGGGGAAAUGGGUGUAGGAUUGAGCAGAGUUUCCUGCUGGCUGGGAGGGGUGGCGCUGAUCAAGCUGAUGACAAAUAAGGCUUAAAAAUCAGAAAGCAUUGAGGCUCCACUUGCAAUAAGCUCCAGGUUCUCCUGUCUGGGGAGUUCAUUUUCCCCAGGGGUGGUGACUCCCAUUUCAGCACUAAAUGUGGACAUUCUGCCCUGUCGCUGUCCCACUGUUGUAAGCCAAAAAUGGCUUAUCUUCUGAGUUUACGCCAAUGAAACUCAGAGACGAGAGAAGUUAGGAGUCCAGCAUUUAUCAGAAGGCCAUAGGUUACAGUCGAAUUGUUUCGCAAAACUGCAACCCCGCCCAAGGGUCCGGGUGGUGGUAUUUAUAACAUUUCAAGCAAAGGAUUUCAAUUUACAUGUACAUUUCAUGUUUAAUACACGUGCACAAUAAGCAUUAGCAAUUUCUGCUGAUUCAGUUCUGAUUUCCACUGCUUUCUGUUAAAGUUCUAAUUUCUGUUACAUUGUGUUAGUAUGCACGUUGGGAACCUGUGUUAUGUGUAUUCAUUUGCACCAUGUAGCAACUUAUGUUCUCGUUUAUGAGCUGUAUCUUUGUGAUUCAUAUAUUAGCUGUACUUCUGCCCCAAUUGGGAGGGAGGCAGGGGGGGCAACUUGCAAAAGCAUCAGUUUCAUAAAGCAAAAGGUUACCAUAACUUCUCUGUUAGAAGCACACUCAAGGAUUUACAAGAAUACACUUUAUCACAUUUAUUGUGGCCCUUUGGGCCACCAUCACACCACUGCCCCCCCUUACACGGGUUGUGUAGCAGCACUCGCAAAGUGGCAGCAGCAGUGGCAUUGACUUCUGAUGAGAUCCUGCAAGACCGCUCUAAGAUCACGGAAAAUCUUGCAAGGCUUUGGUGAGAUCUUGCAACAUCUCAAUGGAAGUUGGCACCACUGCCUGCACCGCUUCUCUGCUCGCAGUGGGGUACCAACUCUUGGGCUUCCACCCCCCAAAGUGGCUGCCUCACCCCACCUCACGGGGUGGCCCUGGUUUCUGUUCCAUUGCUAAUGAAAACAAAAUCGUCCUUCCAUACUAACUAAUAGGGGUAUGCCAUUUUCAGAUGCAGGGUUUGCUUUGAAGGGCAACAUCCAUAGGGGUGAAAAGUCAAACGCUUACUCAUGUACAGUAUAGACUGUAAGGUUUCAUUGCCAUGUUUACAUCAUAUUCUUCCCUGCCACAAUGCAGCUUUUUAAGCAGGAGAACUGUGGCAGAAUGUAUAUGGCUUUUAAGAUACUCAAGGUCCCCCACCCUUGUCUGCCUGCAAGAAUGGCUUUCAGUAUUCAACUCACUGCAUGGGUUACUUGUAGGCAUUAGAAAUAAAAUGAACAAGGCCUUUUAAGGCACCUUUUGCUAGAAAUAUAGUGGGGGUGCAAUAGUGUGGCAGAUCCACAUUUAUUAAGGAAGCAGAUCAAGCAACACCUUUCUCAAGUCAUUGCCGGGGUUGGUUACUAUGGCAACUCUCUGAGGAGUGACCUCCUUUACUGCUUAAAUAGACCGUGUGUGUUUUAAAUAGUAUAUCAUUUCUUAAAGACAAUCAGUCUGCAGAUGGAUGCAAUAUAUUAGCAAUCCCUUUCUGAGAAGGGGGAGAGAUUAAAUAAAGAUUCGGUUUUAUUGCAUGAGGGUUAACUGAUUCGGUUUAUUGCAUGACAGUUUAACAUCUGUAGGAGAAGUGCAGUCUGAGGCUCCGGUAUCCUGUCUCUUUCUUUGCAGCUAUAUUUUGCAUUGUAUCUGUUUAAGGUGUGGCUUCAUAAAAAAGAAGCAGAGGGAAUCAUAUUCAAUAAGCAGCUUUGUAAAUGAAGCAUCCUCACAAUGAUCUUAGUUGAUUCAUUUAUGUUUUGGCAUUGCUGCAGUGGGAGGUAUCAGGAAUUCUGUCAUGUGAUGUGUGUUUAAAUAUUGUGAAUUUCAAUCCAGUAUGGCCCAGGACAUUCUGAGCAGAUGUUCUCAGCUGGAAGUUACUGCAUUUUAGCCCUUGUAUGUUAGCUAUUAGCCCUUGGGAUAGUGUAAUAAUGUCCCCACUGCUGUAUGCACAACCAUCCUUCUCCUGUCAUGUUGGGCCCUUUAAAGAUUUGCGCAACUUAGCCGCUGACCCAAAUUCAGCUGAAGAAAGACCAUCCAUCACUAGUCUGAGGGUCUUAUGUGUCUUGGAAGAUCUUAGACAGAGCGAUGAAAGGCGAAGUGCCUAAUACCUACUUCUCAAUGAGGUGGAAAGGCAUCUGUCUGGGAUGCACCAUUCAGAAUGUAGUUGAGGCUUACCUGAUCGAAUGCAGUUCCUUCCCUUGGCCCUACUCAGUUCAGAACAGAAGAAAGUGCCGGUAAUUUUUUUUUGGAGGGGGGAAUGUUUAGAUAGGAAUCAUAUCCCCUUUACAUAUAAUAAUAUAUGUAGGGGAGGGCAGGGUAUUUAUUUAUCUUUUUACCCCAGGAAGCAAAAUAGCGUGAGCCUUAGUAUGCAGAUAUUUAUUGAUUCAUUGGAAGUGAGAAAUAAAUAAGAAAGCAUCGUUUUUUAAAGUGCUGCAAAAGUAGAGUAUUGCAUUAUCAAAACUAUUCGGUAAUUCCGGUAUAAUUUUCAGUCAAUGUUUCCAAUUACAUGUCUCAGGAAGGAAAGCACUUUUAAAUUACAGUUGACAAGACGGUUUUAAUUGAAGUAUGGAAGGAGAAUGAUGUGUAAUUUUCAGAUCUAAGUAGAAAGAAGAGGAAUUUAUGUGCCAAAAGCUUGAUUCUUGAUAUUAGGGGUGAUGGUGUGUCUUUUUGGAUGUACUUUUGUGAGAAUUUGUGAGUUUUCCGCCAUACAUAAUUAUGAUUACCUCUCUUCUACCUGAGUAGAGGACAGAGGGGGUACUUUUCCUAAACAGUUACGAAAAUGGUUUGAAGUUACCUUUGCUACAUCCUGCAACUCUGUAAUUGUUAAAUCUCAAUUCCCAGGUAACACUAAAAUGAAGCCAUUAAGGUGGUGGGAUUUUCAGCAGACAGGAGAGGGAUGGUUAACUCUUCCAUGUCCCUCCCUCCUGGGCUUUCUCCUGUCAGGCUUAUAUUUGGUCUUGGAUCUGAAGAAGAGAAAAACCAGGUGUUUGUGUGGAGGGGGAUAGAAUCAGCAGGCAAGAGGUUGAGUGCCACCCUUCCAUUCAGCAAUUCUCUCCUGAAAAUUUCCCCUGAGGUUCUGGAAUUUUGUGUUUGCCUCCUUAUAAUGUGUGGUUCUACUCUAAGGUCUAUCGAAAGAAGGGAACUGGAGGGUUACUAGUCAAUCAAAGCCAGCAUGAGGGAAUCUCUCUUAACAGCAAUAGUAAAAAGCAUGCCACUGAGACUGUCCCUGAGAUCCAACUUGGCAGGUGCUCAAAAGGUUUUUACCUAGAAUUUUGCUGUCCUUACCAGUAUUUCAUUCUCAGCCACAUUAGUCAAAAAACAGCAUUUUGAAUGUGUUAUAAACAUGCAGCACUAGAUGGCACUGGAGAGCAAAAGAAAAUAUUUGCGAUUUUCCAUAGCGUUUUUUUCUUUUAAUUUCUGACAAUUUAGUUUCUGACUUAUGUAUAGUGUUUUCCCCCUGUGUGUAGAUCCACCCCUUUGAGAACAGGAGGAUUAAAAACUCUAGAAUGCUUGCUCAAUUUUUACAUCCUGUUCUUCUACUUUAUGUGAGUUUUUCUUUUUAGAGAAAAUAUUGUGGUCAUAGCAAGAGGCUCUUUCUGCGUGCACUCAAAAGGUGUUCUGAUUAUACUUUUUAAAUAGAACCUGUUUCCUAUUGAAAAGGAUUGGCAUAUGCUUUCUCCAAAGCAUUUUACCCCCAAGUGAUCUUUUAGCUGUAUUCAGAGGCAAUUAAACUCAGGAGCAAGAUUAAAGGGGGGGGAGGUGGUGGCAAUACUAUUCACAACUUCUUAAGAAAUUGAGCUACUUUAUCAAUUGCUCCUACUCUGUUGGGCUAAAUUAAGCCACAUUUAUAUAUCUGCUAUAAUAACUCAUAGCAAUUUUAAUAGAAAGUAGCAUGUCCGUGCUGGGAAGCCCAGUGCUUAAUGAAUUUUUUCAAUGUUGCAAGGCAGAUAGACCUACAAACCCAAAGUCCUUGACACUGCAUGAAGUCAGAGUAAACAAAGUAAACAAAUGAUAAUGUGGAUUCAACAUGCGUUAGUGUCUGAAUUAUGUACUUCUGUUGUAUAGAACUUUGAGAUGCUGGCUGGUGCAUGGUAAAACAAUUAGGUGCCAGCUUCACCCUGCACUGAAUCUAUUUUCUCAAUUUCAUCAUGAUAAUUGUUUCUGUUAAAGUUACAGGAAGAGUCCUGUUGGAUCCAGCUAGUCCUGCAUUCUGUUCCUACAGUAGCCAGCCAAAUGUUCAUAGGAAGUCGUCCCCAGAAACACUCUCCUUUUCCUGCUCCCUGAUAGCUGGUAUUCAGAAGCAUAUGUCCUCUGACAGUGGAGGUAGCACACAGCCAUCAGGGCUAGUAGCCGUUGAUAGCAUUAUCCUCCACGGCAGGACAAGUUCUCAUGGCAAAUAUUGAUGUGAAAGCAGACUAGAGCAGGAAACUGAAGUGGUGUGUAGGCACAGAGAGGAGAGUGAAGUGGACAGAGGGCUGCGGCUUUAAAAAGGAAAGACAAACAUACUUCCUUUCUCCCAGAUUUUAAAAACCUGUUUUGCACUUGAAAAAUGAAACUCGGCUAGAAUAUUUUUAGAUGGUUUGUGUAUGAAUAAAUUUAACAGGUGAUUAUCUUAAAUGGCGUAUUGAUUUGCUUGGUGAAAGAGGUUUACAGCUUUCCCAAUACACUGUGGGAGAUAAUUGCUUGGGUUGGAAACAAGCUUACCCCUUUCAAAUCACCUCUUUUUCCAAGCCACCAACUAGACUCCAGAAAUAAAGAAAAAAGGCCUUAUUUCCUUUUGCCUUCACAUAUUUACAUGUGCAAUGUCUGUGAUGGAACGAUUUUUUGAUCUUCCCAACUAGUAUUGCAGAAUACCCUUGGUUAAAUUCAAGGUCAUCCAUUCCAGAUCUUGCAUUGAUCAUCUGCUUGGGCAAAAAAACACUCUGCAGGGAAAGCUAGGUGAAGUAUUCUAUAUAGAAACUGAAACACUGAAGCCCCCAAAUACAACUCCCGCCUUUCCCACUCACCUUAGCCAGUGACCAGGGUUGUAGUCCCCACCAUCUAAUGAUGCAAGGUAGAAGAACACUAGUCUACACUACAGUGUGGUGUUCCCAGCACUUAAGAUAUGGGGGAGAGGGCAGUGAUGGACAAGUUUCAUUCAUUCAUUUCAAAAAUUAUAUCCAGCUUUUCACCAUGUAGAUCUCAAAGCAGCUUACAACAAUAGGAAUAAUAAUAAUAAUAAUAAUAAUAAUAAUAAUAAUAAUAAUAAUAUCAUCUUAUUUCAGCCCCCAACAGAAUAUUAAAAACACGAUAAAACAUCAAACAUUAAAAACCUCCCUAAACAGGGUUGCCUUCAGAUGUCUUCUAAAAGUCAGAUAGUUGUUUAUUUCCUUGACAUCUGAUAAGAGGGUGUUCCACUACCAAGAAGGCCCUCUGUCUGGUUCCCUGUAACCUCAGGUAUACUGGGCCGAGGCCGUUUACAAUAUUUAAAACAUAAAUUUCCAAAAUUUAUAAUGGGAAUUUAUUAUCUAUUAAAAGUGUGGAGGAAACUGUUAGGAUCGUCCUACUCUCAUGUAGGACCCUGGCAGAGACACAUGCCCGACUGACAUGUUCUCUCCCUCCUGGUCGAUUAUUCAGGAGCUUCAAAAGCUUUAUUCAACCUGAACAUCACAAUACCAAGAUACCAAGAAUCAUCAGCGCACUUAGGGAUCUGCAGAGUAUUUGCAGUUUGCGUAACAGAUCUCAGUAGCACAGCAUUUUGGCUAAUCUACUUUUAUUUACAUAUAAUACACUUGGAGCAUUCUGCUUUAGCUCCUUCCUCUUUCUCAUCAGACAGCAAAGAGAGAAAGAACAAAGGACAAUAGUCCCACUUCGUGGAACACAGUAACACAAACAUCCUGACUCCAUCACUUCCCACACUGUGGAAUGAAAACAUACACCAUCAUGUGAUAGACAACAAUCUCAUGACUGCAAACACGGAGAAAGAAUCCAAUCAGAAACAUCCAAGAAGCAUGCAGAGUGCAGAACAGUUUUGAGUGGUGUCUGAAACUCAGAUCUGUCUAACUUAUUGUAGUAAUUUGUGCUAUAGAAUUGGAUCUAUAACACUGAAGGCACAAUUCAUUGACACGAGUCAGGUUUUUGGCCCAUUGUGAACCACUGAUGGAGUUAUCCUGCGAUGAUCUCAACUUGGGGUGUACAGGGGAAGGUGGUCCUUAAAGUAUCCUGGGUCCAAGUUAUCCAGGGUUUUGUGCACUAGUACAAUAAUUUGAACUUGGCCCAGUAGCAAAUAGGAAGCCAGUGCAGGUCGUUUAGCACCAGCAUAAUGUGUUAAUGUGUCAUAGUCUAGCUGCAGUUUUCUGUGCUAGCUGAAGUUUUUGGAGCCAGCUCCAAGGGCAGCCUCACAUAGAGCAUGUUGCAAUAAUUCCUGUCUUGCGGUUACCAGCACAUGACCAACAGUGUCCAGGAAUGGUCAUAGCUGACAUACAAUUAUGGUUUAAGGAAUACCUUCACACUAUGUACCUGCUCCUUUGGAGGGACUGCAACCCCACCCAGGACAGGUAACUGGCCCAUCUCCUGGGUCUGAGAGCCACCCACCCACCAGGCAUCUGUUAUAUUUUUCAAUCUCACCACUGCAUCCACACACUGGUCCUGGUCUUAUAUAGCCUCUCCUGAAUCAGAUGUAAUGGAGAAAUACAACAUACAGGUUACACCUUGCCUCUAAGGUCCCAAUGGCUACUCUCAGCAGCUUUAUACAGAUAUGUUAAACAAAUCGUUCUCUGUCUUGCUUUGAAGGUAAGGAUGGUUAUGUGGGGGUGGUUUGGGUAUACACGUUUCUGUGUAUACGCACUAACCCUAGAAUGUAACCCCUAUGCAAGAUGAGAUCAUACUGUUACAUGUGAAGUCUUCUGCAGUCAGCCCCACUGUCUCCAGAUUGCCAUUUCUAUGGAAGUCAAGGGAAGCACAUUCGAAAAAGCAUUGGGAAUUUUAUUUUGCUUCCUUGCAAAGUACAACUUUAUCCAUCUAAUCCAUUUUUAAGCCAUCUGCACUGUGUAGAUAUGCUGUGAGUUUAAGCAAUUAACUAGACCCCUUUAUCUGUGAGUUUUGUUUUGGGAAAUCUCUCGUAUCACUUGCUUUUGCUGUUUGAGUUUAUGAUGAAAGCUGUCAAGUGGUAGUCAGGAAAGCAAAACUGUGUUACAUAAAAUGCUAAAUUGCUCUCUUCUCCAUCGAAAGGAACUGUGGAGUGAUGAAAAAGACCAGUGUUAUCAUAUUGGGUCUUUUGAAUUUUCUAGGCUGCAGCUGCAGCUGAUAAUUCAGUUUUUAAAAACCGCAGGAGGUUGUUCACACUACAAACGUAAAGCAAUUUACGGAAUGUGAUUAUCAGCUAUCCACUGUCUGUUUACCAGUUGAUAAUUUUGCUGAUUCUGCCAAUUGUAUCAUUAAUUGUUUCUGCCUUUACCAGAGUUUUGUACUCACAGAUUGAAGGUCAUGCUGCUUAAGGAAAAUUAAGUUCAGGUUUCUCCCCCACCCUCCACUCUUGAAAAGCAACCUUAUUCUGAGCAGG